GGAAAGUCUUCCCAGACCACCUCCUGGUUGCUCUCAUUUCUAAAUUUUUAGCUGGUGACUAGAGUUACUACGAGGCACUUACUGUUCUAAGAACUGUCACAGUGAAGCUGAAGGGGGGCCCAUAAUAUCCCCUUUAAGGAUGAGGACACUGAGACUCUAUGGGUUUAAAUGACUUAGCUAUGGUCAUUUCACACUGUCACCCAUUGAAAACCAGACUCUUCUACUCACAGUUGAGAUCUUGGGUAAGUUGUUUCUCUCUUUGGGGUCAAUUGCCUCCUCUGUGGAGUAAGAGGAGCAAGUGAGAUCACUGGUCUUUCAGCUUUUUUGAUUAUACUAC